rnacentral:rRNA from 1 species
UUAUUUUUUAAUAAUUAAUUUUUAUAUAAUUUUUAUAUAGUUAAUAUUUUAGUUAUUUAUAGGAAUAAAUAUUAUAAUAUAAUAAUAUUUUAAUAAUGAUAAAAUAAGUAUUUUAUAUAUAUAAAAUAUAGUAACUCGGCAAAUAUUAUUUUCGCCUGUUUAACAAAAACAUGGUCUUUUGUUUAUAUAAAAGAUCUAACCUGCCCUAUGAUUUAUUUAAAUGGCUGCAGUAUUUUGACUGUACAAAGGUAGCAUAAUCAUUUGUCUUUUAAUUGAAGGCUUGUAUGAAUGGUUGGAUGAAAAAUAUACUUUCUUUAUUUUAUAUAAAAAAUUUAAUUUUCUAGUCAAAAAGCUAGGAUUUUUUUAUAGGACGAGAAGACCCUAUAGAACUUUAUUUUCUUUUUUUAUAAACUUUAUAGAUAAAUAUAAGUUUAUAUAUUUUUGUUAAUUUUGUUGGGGUGAUUGAAAAAAUUUUUUAACUUUUUCUAUUUUUUACAUUUAUAUAUGUUUUUUUGAUCCUUUAUUAUGGAAUAAAAGAUUAAGUUACCUUAGGGAUAACAGCGUUAUUUUUUUGGAGAGUUCUUAUCGAUAAAAAAGUUUGCGACCUCGAUGUUGG